CGUCGUUAGCAUGGCAUCGACGACAGAACUGGCAACCAAAGAAGAUUUCGAUGAAGAAACAAUUUCUCACCGUGAUCCUGGUUGAAUCCCGCGUACAGUAGUCCGUUCCCAUGUGCGUUUGAUGAAAGAAAGUACUACACACUCAAAGCCCAAGGUGGGAAAAUCCUCCACACAGAGGCUUUGCUGGAGCUGUGGGAUAUGAUGGGCAGACCGUGUCUGCAGCUGCCGUUUUCCGGUGGGAAAAAGAAAUGGCCAUGUAUUUACUAGGAAAGGAAGCUCAUCCACCAUGGCAGAAGAGGAAAGGCCAGACUGUUGAAUGGGGAACAAGAACAAACAAUGAGGCAUGAGGAUUGGGUGUUGAGGGACCACUUGCCACAUUCUCCAAUGUGUGCUUAUGUUAUGAUAAUCAAUGUGUUUUCUGUCCAGAUAAAGAUGAUGAUACAGCAUUGAAAAAGACCUACCACUGACCAAAUGUUUUGUUUAUCAGUCCAACAGGAGUGCAUCCCUCAGACCAUCCAGUGCAUGGACAUCUUAGGCCAGUGUGAUCCGAGCGUCCAGUUGUAGAGACUACAGCACAUUGACUCUGUGGACGGACAAGCCAAUAACUCAUCAAAUAUGAUACAAUAUUGUGUAAAACUUUGAAUUUGUAGAUGCAUCUAGGGCUGUGGCGGUCACAGUAAUUUACUGUUAAUUAACAUAAACACAUUUAGCAUCUCCUGGCUACACA